UUUACAUGACCUACUUAAACUGAGUUUAAGUGUACAUACUUAAACUCAGUUUAUAUUACCUACUUAAACUAAGUUUACAUGUACAUAUUUAAACUGAGAUUACGUAGAAUCAUUGAACAAUAUUGAACUUUUAGAUGUAGAUUUAAACUCAUUUUACAUUGCCUACUUAAACUGAGAUUACAUGAUCUACUUUAACUAAGUUUAAGUAUGUACACUUAAACUAAGUUUACAUGACCUAUUUAAACUAAAUUUACAUUAUUUAUAUUGAAACGAAUUUUACAAAGGAAACAAUUUUCUAAAUAAAAUCUAAAGAAAAGUCUAUUCACCCUCUAGAGUCCCAUAUUCUAUUUGAAGUUUGAAGCAUAAGGGUCAACAU
rnacentral:lncRNA from 1 species